UCUUUAAUUUAAGGCAGAAUCAGGCCAUAGUAAAAGCGCCGGGGAUCCGGCUAUGGCGAUAAACGGCUUGUGGAAUAAGCGAUGCGGACCCGGGGGCGGUACCCGGCGCCUCCACCAAUUUUAUAAUCUGCUAGGUUAGCGGACUUUUGGGGGCGAAAUAGGAUCGACGCGCGUGUAAAGAUAAGUUUUUCGUUCGGCAUGGUACCACCGUUAUCGGGCCGAUAUACAAUUGCCAAUGAUAAUGACUUGGCUCUCGCUGCCUAACUUUAGGUAAGCGCGGUUCGGGGGGCACCGGGCAACAGAAGCCCCUC
rnacentral:tmRNA from 1 species